ACUCCUGUAGCUCAGCGGUAGAGCAUCGUACUUAUAAUGCGGUAGUCGCGGGUUCGAAUCCCGUUAGGAGUA
rnacentral:tRNA from 1 species